rnacentral:snoRNA from 1 species
AUUCCAUGAUGGGGACAUUCUAGGAUGUAGUCUUGGAAGCGCUCCCAUGCUUCUGGAACAGAUUCAUCACUUUGUUGCUGAAAACAUAAUCUGCCCAUGGGAAA